UCAUGGGACCCAUAUUAAGUACCCAACUUUGAUUUGCUUGACACAAGUAGCUUUGCAGAAGAAGGAUUCCAGCUUAAAUAAAAACACGUGUCACAUCCAUAAUUGUUUGACAUCAUCUUCAAGCACACCUGGAUUCCUUGUUGCAAUGUCUUCAAAACAAAUGUAAAAAUGAAAGCAUUAAAGUGGUGAGCUCAUAAUGAUGGGAUCAAAAGGAAGUGAACUGGACUCUGAGGAACUUAACACAAGAUUGUGAUGGACCUAGAAUGCAACACCGUUUACGAAUAAGUCAAGAACCAAAUGAAACACUAUUUUCCAGAGCGCAGAUUAUGGAAGGGUCUGCAAAACUAAUGGAGCAGUUUCUUCUUCUUGGAGUGCCACAGCUUGAUGCUGCAUAUAAGGACUUAGUGAAGAACACAGAAACAUCUUUAAAAGAAAUGGCCCAAAAGAAGGGAAGGAAAGAAGGAAGUGCUCUAUGCUAGUCUCAUUGGACCAGCAGAGGAAACCACAGAAGAAAUCCAAAGGUCCUAACAGCUCUCCUGAUUCCGUCAAGGCUUGAAGUGUCAGCAUUACGUUGGCCUACACUCCCUCACUUGCCUUCCGCUCCCUCAUUUAUCAGAGGCACCACAGUAGAAUGAAUUAGCAAUUACUUUUCACUUU